rnacentral:rRNA from 1 species
UUAUAAGAGACAGCAGCAGCCACGGUAAUACGAAGGGUGCAAGCGUUAAUCGGAAUUACUGGGCGUAAAGCGCGCGUAGGUGGUUUGGUAAGAUGGAUGUGAAAUCCCCGGGCUCAACCUGGGAACUGCAUCCAUAACUGCCUGACUAGAGUACGGUAGAGGGUGGUGGAAUUUCCUGUGUAGCGGUGAAAUGCGUAGAUAUAGGAAGGAACACCAGUGGCGAAGGCGACCACCUGGACUGAUACUGACACUGAGGUGCGAAAUCGUGGGGAGCAAACAGGAUUAGAUACCCCCGUAGUCCCUGUCUCUUAUAC